rnacentral:rRNA from 1 species
GAGUUUGAUCCUGGCUCAGGAUAAACGCUGGCGGCGCACAUAAGACAUGCAAGUCGAACGGACUUAACUCAUUCGUUUUAGUUUGAGAGCGGUUAGUGGCGGACUGGUGAGUAACACGUAAGCAACCUGCCUAUUAGAGGGGAAUAACAGUGAGAAAUCAUUGCUAAUACCGCAUAUGCUAACAGUAUCGCAUGAUACAGUUAGGAAAGGAGCAAUCCGCUAAUAGAUGGGCUUGCGUCUGAUUAGUUAGUUGGUGGGGUAACGGCCUACCAAGACUACGAUCAGUAGCCGGACUGAGAGGUUGAACGGCCACAUUGGGACUGAGAUACGGCCCAGACUCCUACGGGAGGCAGCAGUCGGGAAUAUUGCGCAAUGGAGGAAACUCUGACGCAGUGACGCCGCGUAUAGGAAGAAGGUUUUUCGGAUUGUAAACUAUUGUCGUUAGGGAAGAUAAAAGACUGUACCUAAGGAGGAAGCCCCGGCUAACUAUGUG